ACGGGAGGCAGCAGUGGGGAAUAUUGCACAAUGGGCGCAAGCCUGAUGCAGCAACGCCGCGUGAGGGAAGACGGUUUUCGGAUUGUAAACCUCUGUUCUUGGUGACGAAGAAGUGACGGUAGCCAAGGAGAAAGCCACGGCUAACUACGUGCCAGCAGCCGCGGUAAUACGUAGGUGGCAAGCGUUAUCCGGAAUUACUGGGUGUAAAGGGAGCGCAGGCGGGACAGCAAGUCAGCGGUGAAAUGUAUGGGCUCAACCCAUGAACUGCCGUUGAAACUGUUGUUCUUGAGUGGAGUAGAGGUAGGCGGAAUUCCGAGUGUAGCGGUGAAAUGCGUAGAUAUUCGGAGGAACACCAGUGGCGAAGGCGGCCUACUGGGCUCUAACUGACGCUGAGGCUCGAAAGUGUGGGGAGCAAACAGGAUUAGAUACCCUGGUA
rnacentral:rRNA from 1 species